GAUGAACGCUGGCGGCGUGCCUAAUACAUGCAAGUCGAGCGAACAGACGAGAGUGCUUGCACUCUCUGACGUUAGCGGCGGAUGGGUGAGUAACACGUGGGUAACCUACCUAUAAGACUGGGAUAACUUCGGGAAACCGGAGCUAAUACCGGAUAAUAUUUAGCUUCGCAUGAAGCAAUAGUGAAAGACGGUUCUGCUGUCACUUAUAGAUGGACCCGCGGUGUAUUAGCUAGUUGGUGAGGUAACGGCUCACCAAGGCAACGAUACAUAGCCGACCUGAGAGGGUGAUCGGCCACACUGGGACUGAGACACGGCCCAGACUCCUACGGGAGGCAGCAGUAGGGAAUCUUCCGCAAUGGACGAAAGUCUGACGGAGCAAUGCCGCGUGAGUGAAGAAGGUUUUCGGAUCGUAAAACUCUGUUGUAAGGGAAGAACAAGUACGUUAGUAACUGAACGUACCUUGACGGUACCUUACCAGAAAGCCACGGCUAACUACGUG
rnacentral:rRNA from 1 species